GUGUGAAUCUGGCGGGACCACCCGCUAAGCCUAAAUACUACCUGAUGACCGAUAGCGGACUAGUACCGUGAGGGAAAGGUGAAAAGCACCCCGAUGAGGGGAGUGAAACAGUACCUGAAACCGGAUGCUUACAAACAGUGGGAGCCCAAGGCGAGUCCUUCAAUGGAUGUCCUGGGUGACCGCGUACCUUUUGUAUAAUGGGUCAGCGACUUACUGUUCGUGGCAAGCUUAACCGUAUAGGGGAGGCGAAGGGAAACCGAGUCUGAUAAGGGCGCAUAGUCGCGGGCAGUAGACCCGAAACCGGGUGAUCUAGCCAUGAGCAGGUUGAAGGUGCGGUAACAC
rnacentral:rRNA from 14 species